UACGAAGGGGGCUAGCGUUGCUCGGAAUGACUGGGCGUAAAGGGCGCGUAGGCGGCUCAUACAGUCAGGCGUGAAAUUCCUGGGCUCAACCUGGGGGACUGCGCUUGAGACGUGUGGGCUUGAGUGGGGAAGAGGGUCGUGGAAUUCCCAGUGUAGAGGUGAAAUUCGUAGAUAUUGGGAAGAACACCGGUGGCGAAGGCGGCGACCUGGUCCUUGACUGACGCUGAGGCGCGAAAGCGUGGGGGAGCAAACAGG
rnacentral:rRNA from 1 species